rnacentral:lncRNA from 1 species
AGACAUUUCAGUGUAGAACUUGGGGUUUUUUGGUAAAAAAAAUUUCAGCAUUUUGAUUUACUGAUAGAUUGAUAUCUAGAAUACUCAUAGUCUGCAAUCCAGACUCCUCAACAGAAGAGGAAAUUAAUGUUCAGAGAUAACACGAGGCAAAAUGUCUCAUGUAUGGAUUUCUGCAGUUAUAGGUGUUCUCAAACGUGAAGGUACAUCAGGAUCACUGGGGAAAUAAGAACACAGAAGCCCCGAUGUGACUGAGGUAAGAAAGGACCUAGCAUUUAUGUUGAUAACAAG